UACGAAGGGGGCUAGCGUUGCUCGGAAUUACUGGGCGUAAAGCGCACGUAGGCGGCUUCUUAAGUCGGUGGUGAAAUCCUGGAGCUCAACUCCAGAACUGCCUUCGAUACUGGGAAGCUCGAGUCCGGGAGAGGUGAGUGGAACUGCGAGUGUAGAGGUGAAAUUCGUAGAUAUUCGCAAGAACACCAGUGGCGAAGGCGACUUCCUGGCCUGUUCUUGACGCUGAGGCGGCGAAAGCUAGGGGAGCAAACGGGG
rnacentral:rRNA from 1 species